rnacentral:rRNA from 1 species
UCCGGAGGGCGCAAUCGUUGUUCGGAAUCACUGGGCGUAAAGCGCGUGUAGGCGGCUUGGCAAGUCGGGUGUGAAAUCCCGAGGCUCAACCUCGGAACUGCACUCGAAACUGCCUGGCUCGAGUCCCGGAGAGGGUGGCGGAAUUCCCGGUGUAGGGGUGAAAUCCGUAGAUAUCGGGAGGAACACCAGUGGCGAAGGCGGCCACCUGGACGGUGACUGACGCUGAGACGCGAAAGCGUGGGGAGCUAACAGG